rnacentral:misc_RNA from 1 species
ACCGAAGCCUAUAACCGCCUCUGGGCGUGAUGGGUGGCUGGUAUCCUCCUUCUGAGGGGUGUAUGGCGCAGCGUGGGCCGGCCUCCGGGUCGCGCAUCCCCAUUGCUGCGGCGGACCAUCCCUUGGGCAAUUCAGUGGGGGCAAUUGGAUAGCCCGUGGGGACCUUUAGCGGCUUCGGCCCUGGGGGUUUCCUGGGCUGGGCGCUGGGCUUCGGUCCACGCCUCGACCUAUAAACUAAUUCUGACCCCCUCUUCAUUGAGGGGCUCUGGGUGGUCUCCCGUCCCUUGGGGCGGGGGCCCUCCUGGGAAAGAUAGUUACCUGGUUGAUUCUGCCAGUAGUCAUAUGCUUGUCUCAA